rnacentral:rRNA from 1 species
UACGGAGGAUGCGAGCGUUAUCCGGAUUUAUUGGGUUUAAAGGGUGCGUAGGCGGCGCUUCAGGUCAGCGGUGAAAUACCGGGGCUCAACCCCGGCCCGCCGUUGAAACUGGCUGUCUUGAGAUGUCGAGAGGUAUGCGGAAUGCGCAGUGUAGCGGUGAAAUGCUUAGAUAUUGCGCAGAACUCCGAUUGCGAAGGCAGCAUACCGGCGGCGAUCUGACGCUGAGGCACGAAAGCGUGGGUAUCGAACAGG